AGCAGUGUGGCAUAGUGGUAAUGAGCAGGGCUCAAAACCCAAAUGUUGGUGGUUCAAGUCCCUACUGCGG